rnacentral:lncRNA from 1 species
ACUAUUUACAUCAUGGUACUUUAAUCAAGCAUAUGUAAUGAGCUAAAAAGAGAAUUAUAAUCAAACAUAAGACAGACAUAAACAUAAAAGAGGGAUAAAUCCAAAUUUCAUACAAAUUCAUUGUAGUAAAAAAAAAAAUGGAAAGAAGUAAGUAGCUGACAAUCAAAAUCAACUAAACUAAGAUUUUUCUCUAUUUACAUUACAUAUUAACACCUUGCAUUAUGUUUAUCCUAUUAAGUUAAAAAAAU